AGCGUGUCAUCGCGAUAGACGAUUCUUACGAUAUAUAUUACAUACUCGACACAUAUAUUUAUCUGUCAGGAUAUCUUUAGAACCCUUCGGGUCUCCGACUUUUUGUAGCUGAUCCCUCAUGAGGGUACGUUUUUUUCAUCGUUUCCGAUUUCCACGGAGUAUUGUUCCGAAAUAUAAGUUAUUCCAGUUGUCUCCUGUCAUUUAAGAAUCACCCAUCUCGCGUGGAAACACAAACAACACCCGUCUUCGUGCUUGCCGCUUUAUUUUUUUAGACCACCCUCUCUUACGGCCCACCAUCUGCACGCACGCUGACGCUUUACGUCGCUCGGCUGUCGAACGCGGACGACAAUUCGCAACGUUCGACGGGUGUGAACCACCCUGCGCACAUCUUUCCCUUCUCCCGGUGCAUCAACACAGAACGAAGGGCUUCCCUUUUCGGAGUUGCGGCUAUAUAAAGACGAAAAUGUCACCCAUUUAAUUCCACGGCAGCCGCAGAUCGUCUUUCGUAGAGUCACAAGGAAGCACUCAUGACGGUUCAAAGAAUCGGAUAAUUCAAUCAGUCCUCAAGCGAUUAAAACGAUAUUUCUCGGGCAGAAGAUACAAAACCCGGUAUACUACGGAAAUAACCGUGCAUUUAAUGCAUCUAGACGGAAAUAUGGGCGAUCGCUUUUGUCAAACGGACGGCCUGAUGUAUGGAGCGAGAAAAUACUUCGUGGAAGUAGAAGAAGAAGAAGAACCCCGGCGCUAUUCUUGCGUCCAGGAUUAUUUCGGGCCCAAACGUACGGAAUGAUUCACGGAAACAGCAUUCUCUUCGUCGAGCCGUCGCUAUUCAUCGCGAGGAAUAAA